AUGGGGCAAGAAAAUUGUGGAGGUUUUGGUGGUGAGCAACAGAGGAACGUGGCUCAAGAAACUAAUCACAGCCAAGUGCCUAUGCUUUGUUCCACUGGCUGCGGAUUUUAUGGAAACCCUCGUACAAAUGGCAUGUGUUCAGUGUGCUAUAAAGAACAUCUUCAAAGACAGAAUAGUAGUAAUGGUAGAAUAAGCCCACCUGCAGCUUCUGUCAGUAGUCUGUCUGAAAUCUUUACCCAUCCAGUGCACAGACGACAGUGUCCCGGAUGCCCAGUCACCGCUAUACUCCACGUCUGCAUCUGUGCAGCCAAGCCCUGUAUCAAAUCAGUCACUUUUAUCAGAAUCUGUAGCAUCUUCCCAAGUGGACAGUACAUCUGUGGACAAAGCAGUACCUGAAACAGAAGACCUGCAAGCUUCAGUAUCAGAUAUGGCACAACAGCCAUCUGAAGAGCAAAGCAAGUCUCUUGAAAAACCAAAACAAAAAAAGAAUCGCUGUUUCAUGUGCAGGAAGAAAGUGGGACUUACUGGGUUUGAAUGCCGGUGUGGAAAUAUUUACUGUGGUGUACACCGUUACUCAGAUGUACACAAUUGCUCUUACAAUUACAAAGCUGAUGCUGCUGAGAAAAUCAGAAAAGAAAAUCCAGCAGUUGUUGGUGAAAAGAUCCAGAAGAUUUGAACUCCUGCUGGAAUACAAAAUCCUUUGACCAUCUGCAAACUAAAAAUUGACUUGAGGUUUUUUUUCCUAGUCAUUGGGAAUGUAGAGCAAUGUAUCUUGCAUAGACCUUUUAAUCAUGCAUGUCAUCAGAAGAAUAGAUUUUUGUUUUUGUUUUGAAAAUGACUCUGAACAUUUAUUUCCAUUGCAGUUUCUGUGGCUGAAAAGACUUAAGUAAACUU